rnacentral:rRNA from 1 species
CGACCGGCGCACGGGUGAGUAACGCGUAUGUAAUCUGCCUUGUACAGAGGGAUAGCCCAGAGAAAUUUGGAUUAAUACCUCAUAGUAUUACUGAAUCGCAUGAUUCGGUAAUUAAAGCUCCGGCGGUACAAGAUGAACAUGCGUGACAUUAGCUAGUUGGUAAGGUAACGGCUUACCAAGGCAACGAUGUCUAGGGGUUCUGAGAGGAUGAUCCCCCACACUGGUACUGAGACACGGACCAGACUCCUACGGGAGGCAGCAGUGAGGAAUAUUGGUCAAUGGACGCAAGUCUGAACCAGCCAUCCCGCGUGAAGGAUGACUGCCCUAUGGGUUGUAAACUUCUUUUAUAUGCAAAUAAACCUACUUUCGUGAAAGUAGCUGAAGGUAGCAUAUGAAUAAACACCGGCUAACUCCGUGCCAGCAGCCGCGGUAAUACGGAG